GUUGGAGAGGGAGACACUUAGUUCUAGAGACAGGAGAGUCUUUCGUUCUCUCACCCCAGUAAAUCAGCCAUUACUAGAGUGAAUAUAAAAUGCACUUCCCUCCACUGCACUUCUGCAUUGUGGAUGACAAUGAUGUCUCAGGAGUGUCCGAGACAAGUCUCACCUUAGUGAAUAACCCUGCAAGUCUAAUUAUACACUGCAACAGAUAGAGAAAGGGAGAGUUAGCUUUAAAUAGUC